rnacentral:lncRNA from 1 species
AUCAUUCAUCUUUCAUGAAUAAACAUAAAACACAAAUGUUCAAGUUUCACCCCCUUAAUCUCUAGUUCUGCCACCAACUCCACAAUCCCACACUGUAUCAUCCACACAUGUUGUUAAAGAUUCUGACAUCAGACAAAAGAUGGCUUGAACAUGUGUUUAUAAGUAAGGGAAAUCCUCACCUCACAAGCCGGUUUUGUGGGGUUGAGUUGGGUUCAACCACAUUUAAAAAUCCAUUGGACCACCUGCUAUCAGGUCAAUGACAAUCUAAAUCAAACUCUCUCUGAAGCAAGCAAUGACAAUUUUCAAACGGCUAAAGACACAACGACUUUAUUCUAAGGUUUAUAUAAAAGGAAGUAAGCUUGGUUAAAGAGUAACAACAACUUCCAGUGAGAUAAAAAGAUAACAUGAAAAUAUUCAAAAAAUCAGAUUAAGCUCCGCUACUACUUUCUACUUUGAAGAAAUUAUAAAUCCUCUUAAGUGUCAUUAGCUUAUAUUACACAUGUAAUAUUUACUUUAUUGUAGUUUACCUCUUUCUGAGUUGUUGUAAAUAUCACCAUGUUAUUCUUACCCUAAGUCCUCGAGUUAAUGGCAAGGAAGUCCUCGAGUUUUUGACAAGGAAAUCCCGAGUUUGGCUAGGUA